rnacentral:lncRNA from 1 species
GGAGGAGACAGCUAACCUAACGGUAGAAGGAAUGGAAAACAAAGGGGGCAGAAUGGAGGCAGGUGACGAAGGGGUGCUGUGGGCGGGGUGAGGCCCGGCAUGGAUGGAAAGAGGAAGGGGGCCGGCAGUACCGAGUCUGGUCAUGGAUCCAGUUGGAAGAGUGCGGUCACAGCUAGCCGGAGCACCUGCCUGCCCACCCACCCGUAUCCAUACCGUGCGAUCUGAAAUUUCAUCUGCAGAGGGCGAGAUGGCAGUAUAACGUGUUGCUUACAAAUGCAGGCUCUGCAGUGCGAAGAUCUGGGUUAAGAGCCCAUCUCCAUCACACUCUGGCUGGGUUUCUUUAAGGUUUCUCAUUUCCUAAUGUUUCCACUUUGAAAUACAAAUGGCUGUAUUUAAAACGAUGUUAUGUUCAAAUGAUGUGAUGUUAAAGCAUAUGUUAAAAUGAUGAAAUGAAGGGGGAAAAAAGGUGUGUAGGAUGUCCAGGAUACGGUAAGUGUUCUUGAAAUAGGAGGAAGGGAAGGGACAACAAAUCCUGGACAAGCAGAGGGGAGAGGAGGAGAGCACAGGAGGAAGAGGGAGAGCAUGGGAGGGGAAGGCCUGGAUACCUUUGGCCUUCUCGAGCCAUCUGUUAGCAAGCUGUCCCAGGGCGUCCCGGGUGCAGCUUCCCUGGAUGAGCUCAUUCUGAUCUCCUGCGGUCUUGACCCAGAGUCCUGUCCGCUGCAUCUGCCCCACCACGGUCUCCCUCGCGGGUAGGAUCACCUUGACGUGCUACCCACACCCAGAGCUGAGCCCCCACAUACACGGGAGGCUUGGUGGUAAGCUGGCAGGCAGGGAUGGAAGGGGCAGAGGGAAAUGCACGGUCACGCAGGCCGAAGCUGCGCGGUAGAAGGGACGAGCGCUCGUGUCCUCGGCACGUUCAAGGGCUGGGAGACAGCCUCCAGAGACGAGGGCUGGGUCUCCCGCAAGACUGGUGCCUGGGGGACAGGUGGGAAAGAAAACCGCGGAACAGAUAUGGGGAUUUGGGGCUGAACUCACUCCAACCAGGAGAAUCCAAGCCAGAGUGGAAACACACACCUUCGCCCCACCCUGUCUGCAGAGCCAGAACUUCUCUUGCAAACCGAGCAGAAAAGCUCACAUGGAUACCUAAAGAGCCUAAAAGUUGUACGACAA